CACACCCAGAUGCAAUUACUACAUCGCUCACACAUGCUCGCUAACACACAAAUACACACACUCCUCUCCCCUUGGCGCUGGUACUAGAUCUGUGGUCCUUCAGCUCCAGAAAACAUAAGCUUUUACCACUUAAGUUAAAGAAGACCUUCUUUAGAUAGUACUAAUAGUAGAAUCUUGUAUCUUCUCUAUAGCAAUGUCACAUGUGUGCACACACACACCUAGUACAUUUCAUAGCAUGUCUCUGCAAGGUCCUCUGCAGAGGAGAAGAGUGAGUAUAUCAACAAAUCCACAUGGCAGCUGGUGCUUGGCAUUGCUUCCCCUACUCAGCAUUAAUUAGCUGUCUCUCAGCUGUGCAGACACCCUGGCUGUUCUCCUGUUGAGGGCAGAGGAUGCUGUUCCCCAAAGUCCACGUGACUGGAGAGCAUUCUCCUGCAAGUUCUCUCAUGUUUGGGCCAUUGCUCCAAGUCUCAGAAACUGACACAAUGGGCUGCCCUGCCUGUGAUGGGGUGUCAGCCCCACACAGACUUGGAAGAGGUUAAGGUGGCCAGGCAGGCCAAUUAAAUCCCCUGGGUGCACCUGGAGGGGGAGCCAGGGAGCUGGCCACUAAUUAUGAGUAGGCUCAGCUGUGCCAGAGCAGGAGGGGCUCAGUAUAUAGCCAAGCAGCUGGCCACAAGCAGUGGUGGUAGGAAGGCAGGCUAUAGUUACUAACUAACUAACUAGAGUGGAAGGAGUUAAGAUGCUGGUAAACCCAGAGAGGGGAGAAACCAGUGAAGUAGGAAGAAGCCCAGGGAAAUAAAGAGAUAUAGGCCUUGGCUGCAUGUUAUAGGAUCCCUGGGCUGGAACCCAGUGUAGAGGGCAGGCCUUGGUUCCCCUACCAGCCACUGGGUAGUGGCACAACGUGUUGGAGAUGCCAUCCUGACAGCAGAGUCUGGAAGACCUUUGAAUUUCCCAGAAGGGGAGGACUUUAGUGACCUGGCCGGAGGGCCAAGUCAUGAAGAGGAAGAUGUAGAUCUGGGAGUGAUCAGUGUAGUGGGAGAUAGGAUGGCGGAAGACACCACCGGAAUGGGAGCACAGGCUGGUGGAGCUAUUCCCUGGGAGAACCAGCAGGAGGUGCGAAGAGAAUCCAGAAUCAGCAUGAGCCUGAAAUGAAAAGAAGAGGCAUUACUUUUGCAGCUAUGACCUGCCUUCUUUAUCUUAUAACUCUCUGUGCUGACGUAUCUGAUCCUGCCCCAACUGAAGUCAGUGGUAAGGUUCUUGGCCCUAAAUAUUUAAAAUUUUGAUCAGUGACUUGGAAGAAAACAUGAAGUCAUGACUGCUAAAGUUUGUAGAUGACCCACAGAUCAGGGGAGUGUGCCUAAAAGCCCUUGCCUCCAUGUGCUGGGAAAUGUACAAAGAGGUAACAAAGAGGCCUUCCCUGCCCCAAAGAGGCUAUGGACAACAAGAAAGCAACCAGUCCAUUCUGACCACUGGCUUAGCUGACAGUUCACAGGAGCUGGAGUAUUGACAUCUCUGCUGGUUCUUCUGAAGAGAGUAAAUGAUACCGGCCUAAGUUUUGGAGUGGAGUUUUAAGAAGAGGUAAUAGCUGUGGAGCCAAGCAGCAGGAGGAAAAUCAUAUCCAUUUUCCAUACAAUCACAGAUUUUAGAGGAAACUUUUGCUGGAGAGAGUUGGAUCCAAACCACAGGUGGUGUAAAUCAGUGUAACUGCACUGAGGUCAUUGGAGCUACACCAGGCUGCGCCAGCUAAAAAUCUGACCAAUAGAAUUUGCCAGUGGCAGAAGAAAAAGCAGGAACUGGAUGUCUUGAUCUCCUGUUUCCUGUUCUACCAAUAGAUUACAUGCUUUUCCAGUAUGGUAUAUGUGAUAAUGGGUGUUGUAAAAACCAAACAUAAAGCUCCUAAUAAAUAAUGGAUUAUACCCAUAUUCUAGAAUAUGACCAGAAACAGAAUGCUGGAGACGGAAGAGAAAGCUGAUUUGAAUUCACACUGAGAAUCCAAGUAAAAUAACAAGCAGCAUUUUGACCUUGAAGCUUCUUUUGAGGACAAUUUGUAAAGGAAAGCAUAUAAUUAAUAUGAGAGGAAAUUUAAAGGUGAAGGCUACGAAUAUAAUAGACACAGAAGAUACAGUAGGAGAGGGUAUUGCAAAAGGAUAAGGUGCAACUAUUACAUUAAGGAAAAAGAAAGCAAAAUACUCUGUAGUGAAGUGGAGGAAUAGCAAAAAUAUAAAAGUUUCGAGUGAAAUCCACUUUUUGCUUUUCCUCUCACAUCUCACCCCCAAAUUGUCAAGAUAAUGUAAUUACAAGUGCAUGAACAUGGCAUUACAAUGUCAACACAGAGUUAAAAAACAUUAAUGGAAAUUUGGAAAUGAUUCUGAAAUGCGUAGAUGGAAUGAAACCAUGUCAAUACAAUUCUAAAUGUGAUUGGGCUAAAUUGUACCCUUCCUUAUGCCUGUGAAAUCCCUUUGCCAUCAGUCUGUUGCACUGGCUUUUUAUCGGUAUAACUGAGAGCGGAAUAACCAUUCAGAUCUGUAAAGACCACGGGUCAAAUUCUCUUCUGGUGUAAAUAAGUGAAACUCCACUGAAGUCAACAGAGCUCUACACAUUUGCACCAACCAGUAAUUUGCCCCAGUGUUCUGAUAACACAACCAAACAAUAUCCAUGUGAGUAUAUGGAAUCCACCUUAUAAUUUUACAGUCUAAUUUAAUGAUAUGGUUGAAAUGCACUGUACACUACAGCAUAUAGGGAAACUAAAUCCCCCCAAAAGAAAGGACACAACAACUAUUAAGGCUGAGGCAUAGAGGGCCUUAUUCAAAACUCCUCACUCACUCCCUACUCAAAGAAAACUCUCAUUGUCCUCAAAGGGAGUUUUAGCCACGUAAGGAGUGU